rnacentral:tRNA from 1 species
GCCUCGGUGGUGAAAUAGUUAAGCACGCAGCUACUAACCAAAAGGUUGGUGGUUCAAACCCACCCAGAGGCU